ensembl:lncRNA
GGCUGAUGCCCCCUUGCGCUCUCACCCACCUGCCAGGGAAGGGCGAACCCAUCCCCCUAGCAUGGGGAGGGUUUGUGAGUCUAAAAAUGCAGACUUUCCUAUGAGGACAUGACUUGGCUGGGUUGAUCAUGCUGGCAUCAACUCAUUCUCCCAGCUUAGGGCCACAGGCAGGGGCCAGACACUCUGGGGUCCCCGGGCGGUGUGGGUAAGCUUUGGGAACCGAGGGAGCAGGUUUACAUCCUACCUCGCCACUCCCCAGCUGCAGGACCUUGGACAGAGCCCUUCUCUCCCAGCCUCUGUUUCCCCUUCUGCAAAAUGAAGGUGAGGCUGCAUCUCUCGGCUUCACUGGAGCCUCAUCACCUUUUUUACAGCCCCGGGCACACAGCAGAAGACCUACCGGGCCCAAGGCGGAAAAUAAAACAGCUACGGUUUACUGAGGCUGCCCAGGAGCUGCACGUGGAUGAUCACGUUUAUUUGUCACAACAGCGGCCGCUUGAAACCCGGCAAAAGCUCUCGGGGGUAAAGCCUCACCUGUUUUCCUUCAUCCAUGACCCCUGAGGACUCCACAGUGGGCAGAGGCCCCAACGCCCUCCCCACACAGGGCUCACAGCACCCUAGUGGCUGGGUUAUUUGGACCCUCGGCCCCUGGCGGAGGAUGCCGGGAGAAGGAGAGGUGGGCGUGCGGAGGAACCUGUCGCAUUACUUUGAGCACGGGUAGCUGAGUGGAUCCCUGUGAGUUACAGGUCUGGGGCUCCGCUUUCCCCUCCAUGCUCCGGACCCUCCCAGCCAAGAGACCAGACCGCCUGAG